rnacentral:rRNA from 1 species
UACGAAGGGGGCUAGCGUUGCUCGGAUUGUCUGGGCGUAAAGGGCGCGUAGGCGGUUCGUACAGUCAGACGUGAAAUUCCUGGGCUCAACCUGGGGGCUGCGUUUGAUACGUGCGGACUUGAGUGCGGAAGAGGGUCGUGGAAUUCCCAGUGUAGAGGUGAAAUUCGUAGAUAUUGGGAAGAACACCGGUGGCGAAGGCGGCGACCUGGUCCGAUACUGACGCUGAGGCGCGAAAGCGUGGGGAGCAAACAGG